rnacentral:rRNA from 1 species
UCCGACAAACUAUACUCUAAACACACCAGAUUCCCAUUUGAACUUGGAAGCUAAGCUGGGUCAGUUCUGGUUAGUAUUUGGAGAGAAGCCUGCUAAGGAAUACCAGAUGCUGUAGACU